rnacentral:rRNA from 1 species
GUAAUGUCUGGGAAACUGCCUGAUGGAGGGGGAUAACUACUGGAAACGGUGGCUAAUACCGCAUAACGUCGCAAGACCAAAGAGGGGGACCUUCGGGCCUCUUGCCAUCAGAUGUGCCCAGAUGGGAUUAGCUUGUUGGUGAGGUAACGGCUCACCAAGGCGACGAUCCCUAGCUGGUCUGAGAGGAUGACCAGCCACACUGGAACUGAGACACGGUCCAGACUCCUACGGGAGGCAGCAGUGGGGAAUAUUGCACAAUGGGCGCAAGCCUGAUGCAGCCAUGCCGCGUGUAUGAAGAAGGCCUUCGGGUUGUAAAGUACUUUCAGCGGGGAGGAAGGUGUUGUGGUUAAUAACCGCAGCAAUUGACGUUACCCGCAGAAGAAGCACCGGCUAACUCCGUGCCAGCAGCCGCGGUAAUACGGAGGGUGCAAGCGUUAAUCGGAAUUACUGGGCGUAAAGCGCACGCAGGCGGUCUGUCAAGUCGGAUGUGAAAUCCCCGGGCUCAACCUGGGAACUGCAUUCGAAACUGGCAGGCUUGAGUCUUGUAGAGGGGGGUAGAAUUCCAGGUGUAGCGGUGAAAUGCGUAGAGAUCUGGAGGAAUACCGGUGGCGAAGGCGGCCCCCUGGACAAAGACUGACGCUCAGGUGCGAAAGCGUGGGGAGCAAACAGGAUUAGAUACCCUGGUAGUCCACGCCGUAAACGAUGUCUACUUGGAGGUUGUGCCCUUGAGGCGUGGCUUCCGGAGCUAACGCGUUAAGUAGACCGCCUGGGGAGUACGGCCGCAAGGUUAAAACUCAAAUGAAUUGACGGGGGCCCGCACAAGCGGUGGAGCAUGUGGUUUAAUUCGAUGCAACGCGAAGAACCUUACCUGGUCUUGACAUCCACGGAAGUUUUCAGAGAUGAGAAUGUGCCUUCGGGAACCGUGAGACAGGUGCUGCAUGGCUGUCGUCAGCUCGUGUUGUGAAAUGUUGGGUUAAGUCCCGCAACGAGCGCAACCCUUAUCCUUUGUUGCCAGCGGUUAGGCCGGGAACUCAAAGGAGACUGCCAGUGAUAAACUGGAGGAAGGUGGGGAUGACGUCAAGUCAUCAUGGCCCUUACGACCAGGGCUACACACGUGCUACAAUGGCGCAUACAAAGAGAAGCGACCUCGCGAGAGCAAGCGGACCUCAUAAAGUGCGUCGUAGUCCGGAUUGGAGUCUGCAACUCGACUCCAUGAAGUCGGAAUCGCUAGUAAUCGUGGAUCAGAAUGCCACGGUGAAUACGUUCCCGGGCCUUGUACACACCGCCCGUCACACCAUGGGAGUGGGUUGCAAAAGAAGUAGGUAGCUUAACCUCCGGGAGGGCGCUUACCACUUUGUGAUUCAUGACUGGGGUGAAGUCGUAACAAGGUAACCGUAGGGGAACCUGCGGUUGGAUCACCUCCUUACCUGAAAGAAGC